UCAGUACGGCGAGUGAGCGGCAGAGCUCAAAUUUGAAAUCUGGCCCCCUCGGGGUCCGAGUUGUAAUUUGCAGAGGAUGCUUCGGGAGCGGUCCCCAUCUAAGUGCCCUGGAACGGGCCGUCAUAGAGGGUGAGAAUCCCGUCUGGGAUGGGCGGCCGCGCCCGUGUGAAGCUCCUUCGACGAGUCGAGUUGUUUGGGAAUGCAGCUCUAAGCGGGUGGUAAAUUUCAUCUAAAGCUAAAUACUGGCCGGAGACCGAUAGCGCACAAGUAGAGUGAUCGAAAGAUGAAAAGCACUUUGAAAAGAGAGUUAAACAGCACGUGAAAUUGUUGAAAGGGAAGCGUUGUCCACCAGACUCGCCCGGGGGGGUUCAGCCGGCACGUGUGCCGGUGUACUCCUCUCCGGGCGGGCCAGCAUCGGUUUGGGCGGCUGGUGAAAGGCCCCGGGAAUGUACCACCCUCCGGGGUGUCUUAUAGCCCGGGGUGCCAUACAGCCAGCCUGGACCGAGGCCCGCGCUUCGGCGAGGAUGCUGGCGUAAUGGUGGUCAACGGCCCGUCUUGAACACGGACC
rnacentral:rRNA from 1 species